rnacentral:misc_RNA from 1 species
AAAGUCGUAACAAGGUCUCCGUAGGUGAACCUGCGGAGGGAUCAUUAACGAACGGCCUCAGGGCCUGAAACCCUCAAACCUGUGGAAGGAAGCCGUGCUUCGGCGACCCGGUCAGACCGGGUCGCCGCAUUUAUGCCAUACGUUGUUUUUGCGUCUGAAUUAAAAAGGAUUAAAAACUUUCAACAAAGGAUCUCUUGGCUCUC